AACGGGCCCCUGGCUGUGACUCCCAGCCGCUCCCGCCCCGGCGCACCUUCCCCGGUGCCGGGUCGAGCGGAUGGGGAUCAGGGUCAGGGACCGCUCUGAA
rfam:Microbacterium azadirachtae strain DSM 23848 RL72_contig000086, whole genome shotgun sequence.